AAGUCGUAACAAGGUUUCCGUAGGUGAACCUGCGGAAGGAUCAUUAAAGAGAUAGGGUCUUCAUGGCCCGACCUCCAACCUCUGUGUUUAAUCAUCUGACCUUUGUUGCUUUUGGGCGGGGACCGCCUCGGUCUCCGAGCGCACUAACCCUCGGGUUGGUGAGCGCCCGCCAGAGUCCAACCAAAACUCUUGUAUUAGACCAGUCGUCUGAGUAUAAAAUUUUAAUUAAAUUAAAA
rnacentral:misc_RNA from 1 species